rnacentral:lncRNA from 1 species
GUGGGAGCUAUUUUUAAAAAGUAAGAGCACAUUGAAAUUUCUCCAAUUUCAAUUCAAAAGCCUUGUCAUCUUAACCUUUUAUGAUUUGGAGUUGUAUUAUGGAGAAACAUGAUGCAGCUAUUACAUUAAAACUAUGAAAUGAUCAAGGAAUUGAGAGAGAGGGAGCCCAGAGUUAACACAGGGGCACACCUUGGUGUGAGUAAAUAGAAGGUGGAAUAUACUGGUUAUUCUGAACUUUUGAGGGCAAACGAAUCAUAAAUGAUGAUGUACUAGGGACAAACAAGACGUAGAAAACAAAACAGAACAGUAGAAAAAGACCUGAUAAAAAAGAUGAAAAAAGAUGAUGGUGGCAUUGAAAGAAUUAUGACAAUACAGAGCUGACACUUUCUAUGUUUUUAGUGUUUAAUUAGUGUAUUGUAGUUAUACAUAGCACUGGGGUUCAUUUUGACAUAAUCAUACAUGCAUGGAAUAUAAUUGGCUCCACUCUGUCCCCAGUGCUUCCUCUUUCUCUGCCCUCCUCCCUCCUUUAUUCCUCUUCUCCUUCUCUACUUGGUCUUCUGGAAGGCAACACAUUUUAAGGAAGAAUUUUUGUUGUUGUUUUGUUUUGGGAUUUUGGAAAUUUUAAAAAAAUCAUUAUUUUUUAAAUUUUAUUUUAGUUAUAUGUGACAUAGAAUGUAUUUUGAUAUAUCAUAAAAAACAUGGAGUGUAACUUCCCAUUCUUGUGGUUAAACAUUAUGUGGAGUUACACUGGUCAUGUGUUCAAAUUUGAACACACCAUUGUCUUUCCCAUUCCCAUGUCCCCUCUCUUCCUUCCAUCUCCUUGUCCAAUCCAGUGAAUUAAGGAAUAAAUUUUAAUUGAAGAACAAAAAUUUGAUAGAGAUCCUUAGAUAGUUGUAGAAGAUAAAUGAAUGUGUUGACAGAGAUGGAAUCAAAUUAUAGACUGAAAAUUUAGCUGUCACUUCAUUGAAUAGAAAAAUGCAUACUAUUCUCAGAAGCCUAUCACCUAAAGCAUUAUUUACACCUAAUUUUAAAAUAAAUGUCUGAGGCUGAAUAUGUGAUUGCCAUUAAAAUUUUGUUUAUUAGUAUUUUAUUUAAAUAGUUUUGUUCAGCUUAAAUAAAAUGAAAUAUGAAGUCAUGAUUCAUUUACUCUUUCAUCAGUACCUACUCAUGAGUUGCUACCAUGGGUUAGGCACAAGCCAGGGAAUAUUCUUAAACUGUAGAAUAGACAAAGUGAAAAAGAUGGAUGCCUCAUUGGGCAACAGCAUUGAUGAUUAUUGGUGAACUGAAUUGACCUAAUGAAAAAAGAAAAAGCAAGCGG